GUCCAGACUCCUACGGGAGGCAGCAGUGGGGGAUAUUGCACAAUGGGGGGAACCCUGAUGCAGCGACGCCGCGUGGGUGAAGAAGUCAUUCGUGACGUAAAGCCCUAUCAGCAGGGAAGAAAAUGACGGUACCUGACUAAGAAGCCCCGGCUAACUACGUGCCAGCAGCCGCGGUAAUACGUAGGGGGCAAGCGUUAUCCGGAUUUACUGGGUGUAAAGGGAGCGCAGGCGGCGCGCCAAGUCUGAUGUGAAACCCCGGGGCUCAACCCCGGGCAUGCAUUGGAAACUGGCGGGCUGGAGUGCCGGAGAGGUAAGCGGAAUUCCUAGUGUAGCGGUGAAAUGCGUAGAUAUUAGGAGGAACACCAGUGGCGAAGGCGGCUUACUGGACUGUAACUGACGUUGAGGCUCGAAAGCGUGGGGAGCAAACAGGAUUAGAUACCCCGGUAA
rnacentral:rRNA from 1 species